rnacentral:lncRNA from 1 species
UAGCUAGGUAGCCAGCUAGGUAGCCGGCUAGCUGUCAGGCAGGACCGACGUAGUCAGAGCACUGUCGCUAAAUAUGGGAUGUCUUGAUAAAACAAGCAGAUAUUUGAAGUUUACACACCUACAUUCUCGCCUGAAAAUAUCUUAAAAGCUUAUUUUGUGACCUAGAAACACGAAUAAAAGACAUAUAAAACGAAGUGGUGGCCGCCAUUGUUCACUCUGUAGAGGCGUGCUAUGAAUUGUGGGAUAUUGAGUUUUCCACCAAGCAUUACCGUAACUUUUGAAUGAUUUGCGCAACCUUAAAAAUUCCAAGGGCUCCUGAAAGCAGCGACGCUGUGCGCACCGUUGAAAUUGUCAUCAUUACGGUAAUCCAAAUAAGGGUACACAGGCUGUACCACUCCCGGCAUACCACUAGAGAGAGCCAACACACCACAAAUGAAGUCUGUUUAUUUGGCGCCAAAAGAUGAAUUGGCCUAAAUUUGCACUAAAAUAUUAAUAUUUAAAAAACUAUAAAAGUUAUAAACACCAAAAGUCAUAACAUAAUAGUCCAGCUCCAGCCGCACAAAAUGAUCUAACAUAUGUAACCCUAAUGUCAAAACUGUUUGGCAGAGGAGCGCGGGAAAAUUUUCACUAAAAUAUUAAUAUUUAAAAAACUAUAAAAUUCAUAAACACCAAAAGUCAUAGCACACCAUUCCAGAUCCGGCCGCACAAAAUGAGGUAACAUAUAUGAAGCUUGUCUCAAAACUGCGAGGCGAGAUUCGCUGCAAAAUUUCAGGCGGAAACUGGAGAAUAAUAAUAACUAGAACGCGAAAAUUUCAGAAGAAAUUUUAUGUGUGCCUAUGCCGCUGCUAAUCACUGUAGUUUGCCAUUCAUACGGCUACAGAGAGCAAAACUCAGAAGGGCAGCCAUUCUCCACCAUGAACUAUGGUAAAAACAAACACCGCUCACGCUUCACAGAUGACAGCUUACAGUUUUGUGUAAAGAUGAAGUUACUUUGUACAGCGCCGAUUUGCAGACGCUGUGCACACAGGUUCAUGAGCAGAGCAGCCAUUCUCCACCAUGAACUAUGGUAAAAACAAACACCGCUCACGCUUCACAGAUGACAGCUUACAGUUUUGUGUAAAGAUGAAGUUACUUCGUACAGCGCCGAUUUGCAGACGCUGUGCACACAGGUUCAUGAGCAGAAGUCCCAUUGUACCACGGCAGACCGACAAUUUUGCAUGAACACGCUUUGAAGCAUUA